UACGGGGGGGGCAAGCGUUGUUCGGAAUUACUGGGCGUAAAGGGCUCGUAGGCGGCCAACUAAGUCAGACGUGAAAUCCCUCGGCUUAACCGGGGAACUGCGUCUGAUACUGGAUGGCUAGAGUGUGGGAGAGGGAUGCGGAAUUCCAGGUGUAGCGGUGAAAUGCGUAGAUAUCUGGAGGAACACCGGUGGCGAAGGCGGCAUCCUGGACCACGACUGACACUGAAAAGCGAAAGCCAGGGGAGCAAACGGG
rnacentral:rRNA from 1 species